rnacentral:rRNA from 1 species
UUUUAUGAGAGUUUGAUCCUGGCUCAGGACGAACGCUGGCGGCGUGCCUAAUACAUGCAAGUCGAACGCUUCUUUUUCCACCGGAGCUUGCUCCACCGGAAAAAGAGGAGUGGCGAACGGGUGAGUAACACGUGGGUAACCUGCCCAUCAGAAGGGGAUAACACUUGGAAACAGGUGCUAAUACCGUAUAACAAUCGAAACCGCAUGGUUUUGAUUUGAAAGGCGCUUUCGGGUGUCGCUGAUGGAUGGACCCGCGGUGCAUUAGCUAGUUGGUGAGGUAACGGCUCACCAAGGCGACGAUGCAUAGCCGACCUGAGAGGGUGAUCGGCCACAUUGGGACUGAGACACGGCCCAAACUCCUACGGGAGGCAGCAGUAGGGAAUCUUCGGCAAUGGACGAAAGUCUGACCGAGCAACGCCGCGUGAGUGAAGAAGGUUUUCGGAUCGUAAAACUCUGUUGUUAGAGAAGAACAAGGAUGAGAGUAACUGUUCAUCCCUUGACGGUAUCUAACCAGAAAGCCACGGCUAACUACGUGCCAGCAGCCGCGGUAAUACGUAGGUGGCAAGCGUUGUCCGGAUUUAUUGGGCGUAAAGCGAGCGCAGGCGGUUUCUUAAGUCUGAUGUGAAAGCCCCCGGCUCAACCGGGGAGGGUCAUUGGAAACUGGGAGACUUGAGUGCAGAAGAGGAGAGUGGAAUUCCAUGUGUAGCGGUGAAAUGCGUAGAUAUAUGGAGGAACACCAGUGGCGAAGGCGGCUCUCUGGUCUGUAACUGACGCUGAGGCUCGAAAGCGUGGGGAGCAAACAGGAUUAGAUACCCUGGUAGUCCACGCCGUAAACGAUGAGUGCUAAGUGUUGGAGGGUUUCCGCCCUUCAGUGCUGCAGCUAACGCAUUAAGCACUCCGCCUGGGGAGUACGACCGCAAGGUUGAAACUCAAAGGAAUUGACGGGGGCCCGCACAAGCGGUGGAGCAUGUGGUUUAAUUCGAAGCAACGCGAAGAACCUUACCAGGUCUUGACAUCCUUUGACCACUCUAGAGAUAGAGCUUCCCCUUCGGGGGCAAAGUGACAGGUGGUGCAUGGUUGUCGUCAGCUCGUGUCGUGAGAUGUUGGGUUAAGUCCCGCAACGAGCGCAACCCUUAUUGUUAGUUGCCAUCAUUUAGUUGGGCACUCUAGCAAGACUGCCGGUGACAAACCGGAGGAAGGUGGGGAUGACGUCAAAUCAUCAUGCCCCUUAUGACCUGGGCUACACACGUGCUACAAUGGGAAGUACAACGAGUCGCAAAGUCGCGAGGCUAAGCUAAUCUCUUAAAGCUUCUCUCAGUUCGGAUUGUAGGCUGCAACUCGCCUACAUGAAGCCGGAAUCGCUAGUAAUCGCGGAUCAGCACGCCGCGGUGAAUACGUUCCCGGGCCUUGUACACACCGCCCGUCACACCACGAGAGUUUGUAACACCCGAAGUCGGUGAGGUAACCUUUUGGAGCC